rnacentral:rRNA from 1 species
AUUGAACGCUGGCGGCAUGCUUUACACAUGCAAGUCGAACGGCAGCGCGGGCUUCGGCCUGGCGGCGAGUGGCGAACGGGUGAGUAAUGCAUAGGAACGUGCCCAGUAGUGGGGGAUAGCGCGGCGAAAGCCGGAUUAAUACCGCAUACGACCUGAGGGUGAAAGCGGGGGACCGAAAGGCCUCGCGCUAUUGGAGCGGCCGAUGUCGGAUUAGCUAGUUGGUGGGGUAAAGGCUUACCAAGGCGACGAUCCGUAGCUGGUCUGAGAGGACGACCAGCCACACUGGGACUGAGACACGGCCCAGACUCCUACGGGAGGCAGCAGUGGGGAAUUUUGGACAAUGGGGGAAAGCCUGAUCCAGCCAUGCCGCGUGCGUGAAGAAGGCCUUCGGGUUGUAAAGCGCUUUUGUUCGGGAAGAAAUGCUCUGGGCUAAUACCCCGCGGGGAUGACGGUACCGGAAGAAUAAGCACCGGCUAACUACGUG